UACGGAGAGUGCAAACGUUGUUCGGAUUCACUGGGCGUAGAGGGCACGUAGGCGGCUCGGCAAAUCGGUCGUGGAAUCCAGACGCUUACCGUCUGAACGGCGGCCGAAAAUACCGGGCUCGAGGGCGUGAGGGGUCACUGGAACUCCUGGUGAAGCGGUGAAAUGCGUAGAUAUCAGGAGGAACGCCGGAGGCGAAAGCGAGUGACUGGCGCGUUCCUGACGCUGAGGUGCGAAAGCUAGGGGAGCAAACAGG
rnacentral:rRNA from 1 species